GAGUUUGAUCGUGGCUCAGAUUGAACGCUGGCGGCAGGCCUAACACAUGCAAGUCGAGCGGUAGAGAGAAGCUUGCUUCUCUUGAGAGCGGCGGACGGGUGAGUAAUGCCUAGGAAUCUGCCUGGUAGUGGGGGAUAACGCUCGGAAACGGACGCUAAUACCGCAUACGUCCUACGGGAGAAAGCAGAGGACCUUCGGGCCUUGCGCUAUCAGAUGAGCCUAGGUCGGAUUAGCUAGUUGGUGAGGUAAUGGCUCACCAAGGCGACGAUCCGUAACUGGUCUGAGAGGAUGAUCAGUCACACUGGAACUGAGACACGGUCCAGACUCCUACGGGAGGCAGCAGUGGGGAAUAUUGGACAAUGGGCGAAAGCCUGAUCCAGCCAUGCCGCGUGUGUGAAGAAGGUCUUCGGAUUGU
rnacentral:rRNA from 1 species